UGGGGAAUUUUGCACAAUGGGCGCAAGCCUGAUGCAGCGACGCCGCGUGAGGGAUGAAGGCCUUCGGGUUGUAAACCUUUUUCGCUCAUGGUCAAGCCGCAGCUUUGGGUUGUGGUGAGGGUAGUGGGUAAAGAAGCGCCGGCUAACUACGUGCCAGCAGCCGCGGUAAUACGUAGGGCGCGAGCGUUGUCCGGAAUUAUUGGGCGUAAAGGGCUUGUAGGCGGUUGGCCGCGUCUGCCGUGAAAUCCUCUGGCUUAACUGGGGGCGUGCGGUGGGUACGGGUUGACUUGAGUGCGGUAGGGGAGACUGGAAUUCCUGGUGUAGCGGUGAAAUGCUUAGAUAUCAUGACGAACUCCGAUUGCGAAGGCAGCUUACGGGAGCGCAACUGACGCUAAAGCUCGAAGGUGCGGGUAUCGAACAGG
rnacentral:rRNA from 1 species